GAGAAGGGAGGAGUUAGUCAGGCCUCCGCCAGCUUCAAGGUCCUGGGGAAGGUCUUUCACCUCCCUCUUUCUGAUCUCUUUUUCAUGCUCCUCCUUGCUCCAAAGAAAAGCCGGAUGGCAAAAGAGCCCAGAACCUAUUGGAACUGACAAAAUCAAGUCACGGCGCCUACAAAGAUGAGGGGCAGAUUCUGGCUGCCUUUUAAUUUCGUCCUUCACCUGAUAUCUGUGCCAGAGAAUGAUAAAAAUCAUAAUAAAGGAAAUAAUGGAAGAGGAGACUUAUGUUACUGGGGACAUUUAACAUAAUUAUUUUCCUGAUUCAGUGGCAUGGUUCAGUCUUCCAGGAGUUCUGCUACAGAGAAGAGAGUAACCCCCAUCCAUCAUGGCCAAAGCACCCAGUCAGGCUCCGCUCUGGAUCCAGCCCGACAAAUGCAACCCUUGAAUAGGGUUUGUGCAAGCAAACUGGAUGACGACCGAAGAAACCCUGUCGCUUCUGAGAAGACACCCAAUCCAAGAAUGUGAGUUCUGGAAAUGUCAUUAAAUGUCAGUUAUAUACAUGC
rnacentral:antisense_RNA from 1 species